rnacentral:lncRNA from 1 species
GCACAAUGUUUAGAAAACGGUAAUUUUGUAGGGUGUUGCAGAAUUGCCCUGUAUUUUUUCUCUGUAACAAGGUGAGAGUGUCAUAGCUGUGAUCAUGUGCAGUAUUUACCUGCAGAGCUUCAUUUGAGAGUGCACUUAAUAGUGCAAUAGAAAGUGGAAUUACUUUAGUGGUGAUCAUGGACCACCAAUUCCUGAGCAAGGGAGUUACUCAGGCUUUAUACAAUAAGAUUCCGGUUUAAGUGAACCAUCUGAAUUACUUGGUUUUGAAACUUCUUUUGUUUUUUAAUCUUUUGAUCCUAUGAGAGGCAGUAAUCAAGGUGUUUGUACAACAAUGAGUAUUUCCCUUUUCUCAGAGUUCUUGCACGGUGCCAUGAACAGUUCUGCCAUGGCAUGGGCUUCUGCCAUUCCAAGUAUUUGCUGAAUCACAAGGAAAAGUCACGCUCUCCCUGGUUUUUCAAGAUUGAAAGGAAGACAUGGAGGUGCACUCCAUGUAGAACAUACAGCACCAGAUAUGUUUGUAUAAUGUUGCCUUCAAAGGAGUCGUGAAAGAAGCUUGGAUUGAAAGAGAAAGCAAAAGCAUUAUCAGACAUUGUCCUGCCAUAUUCUGACUGCAAAUUCAAAAACCUAUAGCUGAAAUGGAGAGUACAGUACAAUCUGUCUAUCUGGGAUUCAUAGCUUCUAUCCAGAAUUCCUAACUGGAAAAUAUAUUCUGUUCUUUGUGGAUGGCAAUUGCUUAAAGACAACUCUUGCUCCCGUCUGCUCUGUGUGCCAGGAAUGCUGUGGACUGUUUACUGUUCUUGUUGAGACUUGCUGCAAAAUUAGGACCACGUUGUAGCUUCAGUCAUCCAUGUAGGAGUGGGAGGAGGAGCACCAGGUACUCCAGGAAUAAUUUAGGUGUGGCAGCCAGAAAUUUUGCAGCACUGAAAGAACACAAGGAGCAUUCUUGCUACUCCACUACUGGCUGGUGCUGCCUUCACCUGGGGAGUUUGUGGCAGCACUGAAGUGGAACAACACUUGUGGAGCUCUUUGUACCUGUGCAAAGGGAGAGGGAAGCACUGUUGUUCCAAAUCACAUCGUUUUACAUGCACCUCUGCUUCCCCAGUCCAAAAAUGCCCUUUCCUUCUCACAGUGAGCAAUGUCACCGUGUUCCUGUGGCCUGGUAUUACCUGGGAGAGAGUUAAUUUUCCUGCCAGUAUCUGCUGUAGAGUGGUGUGAGUGAGGGGCUGUGUGGUGUUUAGCUGCCUGCUGGGUUAAACCACCUCCUAUUCCUGUCUUUGCAUAUUCCAUCUCUGCACACUUGAAAUUCCUUCAGGCCUGGGCCUCAGGGCAGUGUGUUGAGUUCAUGUACCGUUCCCAAAUGGGAGCUUGAUUACCUUGCAGAUACAAGAGUCUGCUCAUUUCAAAUGCCACAGGAAAAAAAGCUAAGAAGAAAGGCGAAUGAAAAAUCUCAUUGAGAAUGGUAAAGACAUGAAUUGUUUCUGGCCUCUGUUCAUGCAGCACCUGUUAAUGACAACUGUGGGAAGGGAUGAGUGGAUUUGCUAAUUCA